AAGGUCUGGGUCUUGCAUGUAGUUGGACGCGGAGCUCCGGAUGAGUGCUGAAACUGGUAGUGAGAACGAAGAGAGAAGAGAAGAGCUGUGUGAUAUGUCCUCGAGCAGGUUAAGUGUCCGUCAUGAUCACCCAUAGCGGAUAGGUGAAGGUGUCUGUGCAUGUGGCCCCCAGGUGGCACAAGAGGACUAUGGAGCCCAAUGUCGUCCAUUUGUACUCUUCCACGCCGCCUCCAAUGGACGAGGCAGCAGAGGAUGAGUUCAGUGAGUUUGGCAGUUUCGGCGACAGAGGCAUGAUGUCCAGUUGCAGCUUCUCAGAGCUUGACACACCCAUAACGUUCAACCAAUCAAAUGUACUGGAGGACUCUCCACCUGACCUGUACAUCACAUCCGUGCAGAAUCUCACUCUGUCUGGAAAGAACAGAUCCGCCAAUGUGAAAAAAAUAUUAGAGGAAGCAUACCAGCCUUGUGUGGUAUCAAACCUAGAAACAUUAGAAGGUGAGACAGAGGUGCACAGUUGCACUGAGAAUAUAAAGAAGGAAACAUUGGAGAUUCUCACAAAUGGUGUAACAUCCUCUGACCCACAGAAGGAGCUCUCUGAAAUCCACAGCUGCACAGGCCAGAAUUUAGAUGGCACAGGUGACCGAAACAACCUCAGUAAUGGCCAUUCAGAGCAAAAGAAAGUUCAGCGCACCUUCUUAAAAAGCACAGAGAGCAGAAUAAACUCUGGACUGGAUGAUGGGUUAGACGGAACACAGAAAAUUAACCAAACAGACAACCUGCAAGACUGUAACAGUAACUCAUCUCCUAAAGAAAAAUCUGAACUUGUAGAGAUGGGAGUGGAAAUGGAGUUAAGUGAUGACUCCCAGUCAUUUAGUCCAUGUAAAGAUGUACAGGAGGCUGAAGAUAAGCAGGAACAUAAGGAGAACAAGGGACCAGAAGAUAAGGGACUUCCAGGUGCUGCUGGCUCCUCAAGUGAGGACUUUGUUAUUUGUAGUGUCACGGGUGAUUCCAAGGCAGCGACAGCCCCCUCAUUUGAUGUGGAUAUAACCUCUGACACACAACUGAACAGAGACACAAGGGAAAUUCAUGAAUCCUCAGACAUGGAGGUAAAUGAGGACAUUAAGGCCUUUAAUGAUACACCAACAGACAGAGGUGCAGCCGAAGAGGACUUUGGGGAUUUCAGAGAUGUAACUCAGGGUUUUGCAGACUUCAGCCGGACUGAACCACUAAUCCAGGAAGGAUUCGCUGAUUUUGUCACGGCAAUGUCAUGCUGCUCCUCCGAUGAUGAAUUUGGUGACAUGGACACCCUGAAAGACUUCAAGGAGCAAGAUGAGCCAGCUGAGGAAGAGGAGAAGUUUGCUGACAGUACAGGAGGUUUUUGUUCAGAGUUGCCGCCUAGCGAUAGUUUUGCUGACUUUAGCUCUGUUCUGUUUGGUGGUGUGGUGGUGGAAGAGGAAGAGAACUGGGCUUCGUUUGGACAACAUGAAGGCAUAGAAGAGAGUCAGGAUUCAUGGUCAGCAUUUGGGGAGGAACAGACUACUUUUGUGGGUACAGAGGUACAAGAUUAUAUGACUUCAACAGUGCUCUCUAGUGAAAACCCCCAGAGAAACAGAAUGGACAAAGACACUACUGAGUUCAGCUGUACAUUUCAGCAUCUCUUCAGAUCCACUUUCCCUUCAGAUGUCAGUCCUGAGGUUAGUGGGGUCACAGUGGUGUUGACCCUCGAGGAAGCCCUGCAGGCUCAGGAUCCUCCGGAGCUAAGGGACCCGAGCAGCUCUUUUGCCCUGGGGAAUGCAUUAGCCAUAUGGCGCCACCUUCAGGAUAUUCACGGCACACACGGCCUCAAGUUCAAAUGGGCAGGUUCCCAUAGCAACAGACUCCUGCUGGAUUGCCUAGGAAUCAGGAACAUUUUGUUCACUGGUGAGAAGAAGCAGCCAGUUAUCGUGCCUAUGUUUGCUGCUGGGCUGGGAAUGCUUGAGCCCACGAAAGAGUCCUCAAAAUCUCCAGCCUCUCCUGCACUUUCUCCUUCUACUCCUGUGGAGAGUGGAAAUAUACUACACACUCAGGUGGCACCCUCUUUGGCUGUUAGUAUUGACGGUAUGUCUGUUCGCCGUGCCUCCUUCUCUAUAGCUCAAGAUAAAACCAAUUGCCACUCACGGCAGAAAUCGUACUCCUGAUACUUCUCAUCACCCUGCCCUUUAUCACCAUCACUCCUAUCUUCUCUCUGUCUUUCUAACUUUCUGUUCCAUUCACAAUUCACAGAUAUUGCAAAUGGUUUUUGUUUUGAUUUAAACACUGAACUACAAUUACCAGGACAAUUUGAGUAAUAGCUAUCCAAAUCUUGUUGACAGAUGCUUUUGAACCACAAGACAGGAGACAAUUGAAGCGAUUUGGGAAAUUUAUAUUUCUCUUCUCUCUCGCUCUCUCUCUCUUUCCUCCCAAGCCCCUUUUCCACCAACAGGGUUCAAGUACUGGAGCUGGUGCCCAAUCUGGAACUGUUCUGUGCAUAUUCAUAUGUAUAUCUGCUCUGCAUCAGCCCAUAAAUCCUUCUGAUUUUGACCCGAUAAUGUCAGAAGCAGGGGGGCAAGAUAAUGUCCUUACUAUGUAAAACCUUCACAACAACAUUUUAGUCUGGCAAAACUGAUGCAAAAAACUAAACUAGAUCAAGUAAAAUGAUAUCAUCCCCAUUAUAAUCAGCAAAUAUCUACACUGAAACGCUCAUUGCUGCAAUGUGACAUGCGUUCAGAUGGACAUUUGGUGUGUUUCAUUGUACAGCAGCUCUGGCCACUUUAUUUUUCCGUGCCAUCUUAAAAUUAUUUUAUCUACAAAAUUACUCUGUAUAUGUAAACUGGUUGCUAUAAAUAGUAUUUGUGCUUAACUGUAGCAUCAAGAGCAACUUGUAAUAGCUUAAAGACACAAUAAAUCAAAUCAAAUUUUAUGGCUCCAGCACAAGAACCAGCACCAUUUUGGUGGAAAAGGGUACUGAAACACUACUCAGAAACAUAUUUGUCUUUGUUUUGAUUUUAUAUGUUUAUACCCUGUUCUCUAUUGCCUGUUCCUCUUGUUUUUGCAUAUGCACUAUGAAAUUACAGGCCAUCUUCAGUAUGCUUUCUACGCUCAUAUACACACGCAGCGGCUGAAAUGUACUACCUCAAAUGAUAAGUAUAUAGUUUUAACAGGGAUUAAUCACCUUGUCAAGAUAUGCAAGACUCUCUGCCCAUUAUUACAUAUUUUCUCUAUUGUGUUGUCAAAAAUACCACCAGAUUAGUCCUUACGCUCCAGCUAUUGUCUCAGGUUUGAUUGAAAAAUGUAUUGCUAAUCUUUUUUGGAAUAGCUGACCUUACUGCUGGUGCUAAUUUAAAGCCAUUGUACAGCUUGCCUUGGCUUGUUUGAAGGGUGAACACCAACAAUUAUUUUAAAGAUUUACAUAAACAUGCUACAACACACGCUGAGAUACUAUUUUGCACAUGUGAAGUUUGAGUUUGGUGGAAAUUUCGGUUCAACAGUCCAUGUAAAUGUAAGACACCAUGUUUCCUUGUCUUUAUGUUCAUAUUCUGUUUUUCCAUCUGAUAAAAACAAAUGAUUGUCUCCUUCCUGUCUCAGACCUCAGUCAGAUCUUCGUCAAUGCACUUUUAACAACCUUUUGCAAACUGUGAUCUACUGCUUUUGCUUGAUCUUUACCAAAUUGUUGACAUUAAAGACUUUUGUUGUUGUGUCACACCACAUUGAAUUUCUUUUGAUAAAUAUACAUCAUAAAUCUGUCAAUAAAAUUAUGUACUGGGGCCUGGGUAGCUCAGCAAGUAAAGACGCUGACUACCACACCUGGGCGUGCUGAGUGACUCCAGUCAGACUUCCUAAGCAACUAAUUGGCUAAGGUGGGUAGAGUCACGUUGGGUUGAGUUGUGCAUGGAUGCCGUGGAGAAUAGCGUAAAGCCUCCACAUGCACUAGGUCUCCACAGUAACGUGCUCAACAAGCCACGUGAUACAUGGAGUGACGAUCUGAGACGCGGAGGCAACUGAGAUUUGUCCUCCGCAACCCGGAUUCAGGCGAGUCACUACGCCACCUAGAGAGCAUUGGGAAUUGGGUGUGCCAAAUUGGGGUGAAAAUCCCCCCCAAAAAUGUCUAAUAAAAUGAUGUACUUCAAUAUGUCUAUAGCUCUUCACAUUCACUUCACUAUAGCUCUUCUCUCUUUGCCUAAUAUGUUGCUACAGGUCAGUGUUGCCAGACACUGACCUGGUAAGCAGGUAAGCAACCUUAUCUGACGUAACUUGCCUAAAUAAUAAGGACUAGCAAACCCCAAUACAUUCUGGAAAAUAAGCUGUUUAUAAUAAGCGGACAUGUUGACACUGACAUGUUUUGUACUGAUCUGCUAUUAGUUUCUUCAUAUCUGUAGAAUCUGUAUCUUCCUUUAAAUCUUUUACAUAUACUGCUAUUACAUUUGUAUAUAUUACUGUUAAUAUAUCAUGGGUUUUAAAUGCUUCAAGCACUAACACACUAAUUCGCACUGUUACACUAUCAUUGCUAUAACUCUCAUGUGAAGCGCAAGAUGGUGGAUUCCCAGAGCUAAAUUUGGACUAUUUUGGGCCUGUGGAUGAUUGUAACACAAAUAUUGAAAAUGACACUCCACUACCAGGUUUGAACAGAACAGAAUCGGUUCUGUUUUCAAGUAGCUGGCUUGCUGUGAAAUCUUCUUUCCUUACUUUUUCAUUCUGUUUGUGAUUUAAAAACCGAUGUCUUUAAAGGGAAGCUGUCAUCUUAGAUUUUCUUCUUAGUAUGGCGCUCUGUCCCUCAUUUCUCCUCUCUGGAUUGGCUCUGUGUUGAUCCAGAGUUGUAUGAACUGACUACAGCUAAAAUAGAGACCAACAACACUGGUCGAAGCAG